GGCAGAGACCACAUAGCCAUCCACAGGCCCGGGCCAGAUAUUAACUAACUCCACGUAAAGAGAACAACAUGAGACAUGAAGACUCCUCUUGUUGCAGUAAAAAUGUGAACCUUGUUGGAGUUGUCAGUGUCCUGAUUAGAAGCAGAAGAUGGCAUUAGGAAUAGCUAAAAUGGUCUAUGUAAAUAUAUCCUUAGACUGCAGCUGCUGUGGAAAAAGAAGAAAAUAUAAGGAAGAGGGAGCUCCAGCUUUGGCAUGAAAACAUCCUACCCAGGCCCUGCUGCCUCUGAAAACGCCAUCUCUUGUUCAAGGUCAGGAUUGCAGGGCUCCUUUUGCAGUUAAAAACCCAUCAAAAAGCCCUUGAAAAUCAACAUGAAUUUCAGCGAUGAAGAAAGCUGCCGUUUUUAUAAAUUUUCCAAGUGAAUUUGAUGGUUUUGAACAGUGGCAGAAAGAUCAGUGAUUGUCAAUAAACAUUUUUUUCCUCAGAAAUCAGAUGGGUGUUAUGGCUGAGCAAUGAAAUCUGAUCAGUCAGAAGUAAAAAAAUGGAGUUAUAAAACAGGAAUGCCAAUAAUCUUUAUAAUAUCCAUUUUACAGUUUUUCUAAUGCAAAGACCCCACAGCAAAUCCCAGCUAAAGUAACAUUUUGCAUAGUUUAGCUUAACCCCUCCCUCUAUCCAAGUCCAAUCCUGCUUCUUACCCAGAUUUAUGGGCAAGUCUGUGGUUAGCCAAGCUGGUUCACCAGAGGGUCAUGUUGGACACCUUGGAUUUCUGUGCUGAUCUCAUUAUUAAUAAUUUUAGGAAAAAAGUCCCUUUCCCAAAGAGAUUCCUAUUAGUAACACCUCUCCCUCUAAGCCCUCCUCCUUCUCGCACAACCCAGGUGGCCCCACGCAGCCACUGCACAGUUUGGGGGCAUAAAAAUAAGUUCUUGUCACACUCAAAGGCGGAGAGGUUAUGUCAGGAACACUUUAGCGCCCGGAAAACUGCGUUGUUCAGAAAUCCGCAGUUGAGACUGCGUGUCCUUGGGCUCCCUCUGCUGAUGGCAGAAUUAUUUACAGAUCCAAACCCAUGGAGUGCACUGCCACCACAAUGAUGUCUCUGCCUUGUCCUAACACAGCUCCAGGGAACUCAGUUCGGGCCUGCCUCAGUUUCCCUGCAGGUCACACAUGUUCAUGUGCUUACUCCUGAUUUCAGAAAAUUAUUUUAUAUCCGUGGAUUAAGGAUUUCAUAUCCAUGGAUUAAGAGUCUAAAAUUAUCUCACUGCCUCCCUAUUCAGCUCAGCUUUGUUUAAUUAAGACCAUGAUUAACUGAGAGAGGGAAUACGAAUUUGGUGCUGGCUAAAGGCUUCUUCAGACAUGAUAAAGUCUGCCUUUAAAAAUACCUACUUUGUUCACAGUCUGUGGUAAAUACAAAUGCAGCAGUCUAUUUAAUACAAAAUAGUUUUUGAAGUAGUAUCAGCACAACAUAAAAGCUUUAGCCAUGCAAUACAUUCCCUGAAAUAUUAUUUUAUUUUUUCUAAACAUUAUAUGCUAUUUCUGUGUAACAUUUAUUAUACAAUAAAUGCAGAAUAUUUCACUGCAGUAAUAUUUCCCUACUGGCAUUUAUAUUAUGCAGUAUCAAACACUACAAUCCAUAUAAAUAUAUUUCUCUAUAUUAUGUAAGAAAAACAUUCAUUUAAAGGAACUUUUAAAAUAUUUUUUCUCUUUUCCCCUAUAAAACUAAUACCCUACUUCCUUCCUCAAAUCCUUUUUAAACACCCAGCAGAUUCCAACAGUUACAAGUUAAACAUUUGAAAAUGACAGAAUUCACCAUCUUUCUAACUUAAUAUAAAAACCACAUGUCAACAUCUAAAUAAAAACUGCCAAAUGUUGAACUUUUUGCCAAAGUAGUUCUAGCAUUUUUUAAAAAAUCAAAGUUUAUAGAAAAGGGUAGAGCUCACUUUUGGGAAAAGAAAAAUAAAAGGAAGUUCUGCAGCUCAUAUUGAAUCACUUUAUUCCCAUCCCAAUUUGAACUUUUAGGGAAAGGCCCAGCUGACUGAUUGCAUGUGAUGAAGCAGCUACCUGAAUUCCAGUCAGCUCUGAGCUGAAGUUGCAGUGUAUUUUAGCCAGAAAAAUUCCCUAGCCAAGAGAGCUUUGUGUGCCUACCCCAGCAGUCUGCAGCAGUGCCCAGGUACCUGAACUGAAAUCCCUGGUGUGAGCUGGCUGUUCCAGCACUGCCAGUGCUCCCAGCACACUGAUCCACAGAAACUGUCCCAGCAGCUGCAGGCCCAGGUAGAGCUGCAACAUGGGCAAGCAAAUUGCACCACUGUUUACUUAAUGAUGCAAUGAAAAUCAAAGGAGAACUGGCAAAUCCAGAUGUGUUAUGCUGGGAAAUUAAUUAUUUUCUAGAAUGGCUGAAAGUACCUCAAUUUUUAUUUAGGGAUUACAUUGCUGCUCCCCAGGAGUAAUCAGCAAACCUGCCUGGCCACCUCUCUGGACUUUUUAAGUGGCAGGGCCUGUUAUGCUGAGUCUCCAUUUUUGGCUUUUCCAGAGAAAAUCAUCUGCAGGGAAUAUCAAUAGAAAAAGCUGGCAGAGUUGAAGUAUCCUUUGAAACAGCUACCACCUCUCUGCCAUUGCAGCUACUGGCCUUAUUUUUAUAGCAAGAAGGAGAAAAGAAGUUGAAAUGCACAGGUAGGGGAUGGAUUCAAAUGCUUUGCUUUCAGGGCUAGAUUUCUUCGUGCUAGUGUGCAUUUUCCCAUCCUGUAAGCUGGCUCGGAUUGACUGCACAAUGAGUAACAGGAGGCAGAGCCAAGCAUUUCCCUUCCAACCACCAUCCUGUGACAGCAGCACUCAACAUUUGCACUGGAAUUCAGUAUUACAGCAAGAAUGGAAAAAACCUCGUCAGGGAACAAAUUAGUCCAAGUGGAGAAAUGUUCCUGACCCAUUCACUGCACCGAAACAACACAACUUUCCCUCUGAUCCUCUGCAUACCCAGUCCUCCCAUGAAAUCUUGUUUGAAAAUCAGCCCAAGUGGGACACUAAAGUUCUGAUGCUGAUGCUUAGCAAAGUAGUUGCUUUUCAAAAACGGUGGAGCAGAGAUGAAAUCAAUCACAGAGGCAAAUUAUUUUUAGUGAGAGAAGUAAUUAAAAUAGUGAAUGUACCUUACUGCACAUGUGCAUUUCUGCAUUUAUGCUCCUUUUUGUUGCAUUUAAAAAUUACACAGACUUUAAAACAUGCCCUUUGUAGGAGCAUGAGUUUUGUUAUUUGCACUUUUAAGGUUCAUUGUGGCAGUCACAGUGAACAAAACUGAAAAAUCUCACAGCCACAGCCCAUCUCUGCCAAAGUGAAGGAUACCUGGAGAUACCUAGACAUCUCACUUGGGGACACUCAUUAGCAACCAGAAAAGCCCAUUUUAAUUUUGGAAAGCUUUUUUUCCCCACUGGAUCUUGUAAUGAAUGCAUUUGGUGAGACAUCUGCCUUGCCUGGGGGCAAGGAAGAGCAGACCAGGGGCCAGAGGAGGGCUCGUUGCCAAAGCCACGGCCCAGCACACCAGGACAGGCAAAUGAGGGACAGGGAUUUGGGUAGAGAGCCUGAGGCACAGCCUCAAGCUUGGAUUCAUUUUUAAUCUGAGUCUUUGAAAAUGAUUCCUAGCCACUAUACUGCCACAGGGGGAUACACCCCCCCUCUCAGCAGCACAUACUUUCCAACAUUUCAUCAACUUCUUUCUGAAAUAGAAACUGUCAUUUUUAUAUGAUUUCUCCCAGUAUUGUUAAUGAAUUACCAACACUGAUGUGGUAUUUUACCGGUUAUGGUGCUCAUUUCUACAGAUUUCAGCUCUCAUUUUCAACUACCUGCUUAUGUUUAUUUAAUUUUAAAUAUGAUUGAUUUCAGGGCAAUACUUGUUAAAUGUUAUUCCAAUUCACUUUUAGAUGCUUUGUUAAUGAAAACCGCAUUAAAUUCAUUGUGUGCACUGCAGCCUUUACUUAUCCCAUACAAUAUAAUACAUGUUCAUUGUAUUUAAUCUUCAUGUGGCCCCUAUCUGAAGUAGAGGUGGCAUUUUGGAAGGUUAAAAACUUGUAAUGUGAGUAAGUCUCCUUCUCUACAGCAACAGAUUUGUGGGGGUUUUAGUGAGAAAUGGAUAACACUGCAGAGAUUGCUUUUCCACAUACAGUUAUUAUCAAUAUAGACAUUAAACAUAAUGAAUCACUUCUGAUGUCCUCGUCAUGUCUUUAAACAACCAUUUAAAAGUAACAGGCAAAGUCAUUCACUAUUCAAAAUAUCAAAAAUAGCAAAUUUUGAAUGCUCAUCUGAGAAGAGACAAGAUUGGCAUUGGAGGUAAUGCAAGAGGCAAUUAAAAGUAAUGCAAGAGAG